GACGAACGCUGGCGGCGUGCUUAACACAUGCAAGUCGAACGGAAAGGCCCUGCUUUUGUGGGGUGCUCGAGUGGCGAACGGGUGAGUAACAUGUGAGUAACCUGCCCUUGACUUUGGGAUAACUUCAGGAAACUGGGGCUAAUACCGGAUAGGAGCUCCUGCUGCAUGGUGGGGGUUGGAAAGUUUCGGCGGCUGGGGAUGGACUCGCGGCUUAUCAGCUUGUUGGUGGGGUAGUGGCUUACCAAGGCUUUGACGGGUAGCCGGCCUGAGAGGGUGACCGGCCACAUUAGGACUGAGAUACGGCCCAGACUCGAACGGGAGGCAACGGUGGAGAAUAUGACACAAUGAGCGGGAGCCUGAUGCAGCAGCGCCGCGUGCGGGAUGACGGCCUGCGGGUUGUGAACCGCUUUCGCCUGUGACGAAGCGUGAGUGACGGUAAUGGGUGAAGAAGCACCGGCUAACUACGUG
rnacentral:rRNA from 1 species